rnacentral:rRNA from 1 species
GACAGAGGUGCCAAGCGUUAGGCGGAAUCACUGGGCUUAAAGCGUGCGUAGGCGGUUUGUUAAGUCUGUUGUGAAAUCCCCGGGCUCAACCUGGGAAUGGCAAUGGAUACUGGCAAGCUAGAGUGUGUCAGAGGAUGGUGGAAUUCCCGGUGUAGCGGUGAAAUGCGUAGAGAUCGGGAGGAACAUCAGUGGCGAAGGCGGCCAUCUGGGACAACACUGACGCUGAGGCACGAAAGCGUGGGGAGCAAACAGG